GCUAGCUCUGCUCCCAGCGAGGGACGCUGGCCUUCUCGCGGCUUUCCCCCGAUAUCUCUCUUUAUUCCAGCUGCCUGAAACUCGGUCCCACGAAUGGCAGGCAGCGUCCAAAAUUCAACCCCGUAAAGCCAGCACCAGCCAAUAAAGCGCACGGAUGGAGGCCACGUGACAGCAGUGGGCCGGCCCUCCGGCUGAGCCCUGAUCUCUAUGGUUUCCGCGGCUCGCUAGAAGGAGUGUGGUCCACCGGAGGACUCCCUACAUUCUUCCUCCAUUACCUCACUGCCUCCGGUGGCUGCUGGGAUACCGGAGGACUCGGGUCCCGGCUCGACUCAGUCCUCCAGCCGCCCGGGGAAUACCUCUAGUUCUUCCCGGCCGCCGCCGCCGCCGCCGCCCCGCCGCUUCCUCCUCCGCCUGCCGGCCUCCUUCGCCCCGUCCCGUCCGCGCAGCGCGUCCGGCCCGCCCGCAGGCCAGCUUCUCUCGGGAGCCCCCACCCAGGCGCAUGGCUCCAUGAAGCAAGAGGAGGAGGCAGAGCGCGAGAGGUCCCGUCCGCCCCAGCCGCGUCUGGGCCAGGAUAAAAGCAAAACCAUAUUCCUGCUGCUGUCAGUUAUGAUGCACUGAGAAAACUUCAGAGACCUAAACUUUUUCCAGAGAAGAGAAGCUUUACUGGUGUUCCAGCCCUAAGAAACCUUUGUUCAAGAAAACGGCAGAUGCUCUGUUGAAUCCACUGGAGAUUGUUCUGAUACUAAGGACAAGUAUCAACCAUCUUUCCUGUGAAAAAUUCCCUCUCGUACUUUAGUUCUGUGGAUCCAAAAUUUAUAGCAUUCUUCUACCACCACAGGGGCUCAUAUGACAUUAACAGACAAGACACUUUUCAGAAAGACAGGUAAGCAACGUGUUGGACCUUCCGGAGCUUCUCAGAAGACAGAGGGUUUUCUUUUGAGGUAAAUUUGAUAGUACAUUUUGAUAGUACGGGAGGCGAUACGGCAUGGUGACAGAAAAGCGCCGGCUUGGUUAGCAGGACCACCUGGCAGGGCUGCAGGCUGUGCCACUUACCAGGCAGGGGACCUUGGGCCAGCUGCUUGGCCUCACUCACCCUGUUUCUCAGCUGCAAUUGGGAUGAACAGACUGCCUGCUUCGGGGUUGCCUAAAACUCACAUUGGUUAAUGAUGUGAAAUGCUUAGCGCAGUGCCUGGCAUAGAGAGAAUUCUCAUUAGAUGAUACCUCAGCUGGGCUUUAGGAGCUACAGAAGAAGCUGCAUCUCCAUGAGCUCAGCGUGUUUCUAGCUUUCCUUUUUGUUUUCUAUUCAACCUUUCACCCAACUCAGCUUCUCAAUCCCUAAAUGACAAAGGUUUGGGAAGGAAGACUUGGACCGAGGCUUGCAUUUGUUUCUGAGAAUUAAACGUUAUGUUUUCUUCAAUCUAAAUAGGUUUGCUUGUACAGCCUUGUUGAAUGGUUUUUUUUUUUUUUCUCCAUGAUAAAUGACUCUCAACUUCUUUUCCCUCAUCUAAUUGCUUAUCUACAUACAAUGCCUGGAAGGAAAUAAAUGUAAUGGCCCGUAGCAACUGGCCUUCAGGUAUCAAGUUUAAGUCCCUUUAAGCAGAACAGCAAAUUGAGCACAGAAUGAACUGGUUUCAUGGUAGCGUACUGCAAUUAGAUGCAAGAAUAGGGAAAGCAGGGUGCUUCAAGUGGUGACACAAUUAGUAUAGCACUGAGGGACUUCUCUUUCCACUUCUUCAACUCCGCCUGCAUUCCGCUGGCUGAAGAGUUGAUGACAUCCCUGAAAAAUCUUCCCUCUCUUGUUUCUCUGAUGCCACCUCUGUGUUCUCCGCCUCACUGGCCACACUUCCUUUACCUCCCAAACUUUUAACUCUGAGUGUCCCAAACUUGUCUCAUCACCUACCCCUGCUGCCCAGCUCCCCAGCCUGUUCCCCUUCUGACACGGGCACUCUCCUUCUGCUCUCUUGGGAGAGAAACAAUGAAGGCCUAUUUGGCACUUUUAUUUCUAUUCAAGGAACCAGACUGUGAACAAGUUUACCAUUUAGUCCUUUGGACUGUGUCUUGAAUUCAUCCCUCUUCUCCAUUCUCACCAGCACCAUCAUCAUGAUGGCUAAUAUUUCCUGAGCACCUUUCAUUCAGGCAUGAUGCCAGGUGCACCAACUUACUUAAUCCUCAUAGCCACCACCUGAGCAAGCUCCUGUUUUAUAAAUGGACCAGUUCUUGUUGCUGUUGUACAAGUUAUUUUCUUUCUAUAACGUCCUCCUUGUCCUCCUUCCACAUUCUUAAAGAAACUUUCCCUUCCUUUAAAGUACUCAGGGAGCCCUGCAUUGCUUCUUGAAGCCUUCUCCAGCUUCAUCAUCUCACAGUGGUCUCUCUUUUCACUAAAUGUCCAAUAUGCUGCACAUAAGUACCCCAAAGUUAGCACAGAAUUGUUCCAUGGCUGUCAUAUAUGUUAAAAAUCAUUAAAAGUUCAUUUUUUCUCCCAUUAUGGGAAGGAUACAUGCUCCUACUAGUAAAUUUAGUUGGUAGAAAAAAAUUAUCACUAUCUAGACUGCUUUCCCUUUAGUCUUUAUGCAUAGCUUUCUGUCUGCCUAUUUUUACUUUGUGUUUGUAACUUACUAUUAUAAAAUAUGCAUCUCUAUGUUCAUUGUCAACAUUAUUUACAAUAACAUGGAGUGGAUUUACAUGUAUUCUCUAUAUUUGGAUUAAAGGAGAUAGAGUAUGUGAAAUUAAAUGGGAGAAGUAUCUGAUACAUAACAGGCAAUACAAAUAUUAUCACAUAGCGUCAAUUUAUUUGUGAAUAUUGAAAGCUCCA
rnacentral:lncRNA from 10 species